ACCCGCGAAGAAUGCACGGAAGGAAAUAAUUUGGUUUCACAGCUGCUUCUAUGUAUGUGUGGGGCCGGAUCAGAAGACUACGUUCGCUCAGGAGUCAGGAUUGCAGCAGGAGAAAGAACACAACAACAACUUCUGGAAAAGAAAACUCAACAGAAAGUAAACAACAAAAAUGCACAGAUCCAGUGCAAUCGCAAUCGUCUAAUGUGCUGGCUCUUGUAACCUGGGUUACAUCCUCCCUCACGGAAUAUAUGCACGUCCCUGUGCAUUUACACAUCGAUGAUAGGGGGAACCACAGACUCUUCAAAGGAGCACUCGACUGCCUUACUUAAGCCUUGCAAUAAAGACUGAAACACUGUGACUCUUGUUGCAACCAAGACUCCUGGCUGGCUCGCCAAGUUUUCCCCUGUAACACCCGCGAAGAAUGCACGGAAGGAAAUAAUUUGGUUUCACAGCUGCUUCUAUGUAUGUGUGGGGCCGGAUCAGAAGACUACGUUCGCUCAGGAGUCAGGAUUGCAGCAGGAGAAAGAACACAACAACAACUUCUGGAAAAGAAAACUCAACAGAAAGUAAACAACAAAAAUGCACAGGUAAAUAACCAGAUGAAAAGGUAUCAGUCCAAAGCAAAUGCUUAGUCCUUUGAAAUAAAUGUCCAACGUGGAAACAAAAAUACUCAGAUCCUUGAGUGAAAAGAGUUUCGAUGCUUAGCAAAAAAUGUGUCCAAAAAGUAAAAAACAGGUUUACACAAUAUUUCCUACCAGUGUGAUGAACAACUUCCAGAUUCUAUGAAAUGGGAUGGCUCGCCAGUUUCUGCAACCGUGUGUCUCUCUCUCUCUCGAUGGACAGCAGAAACAAUUCUCCCAAACGUCAACAAAACUCCAGAUCCAGGAUCAGCAUUGCUCUCAGGAACAUCAAUAAACAAAGAAGAGAGAAAGAAAAGAAAAGAAACCAACAAAAAAAAAAAAACAACCUUGCAAAACAAGGCAGAAAAUUACAAUUAAUAUCAGAGCUCUCAAUAUCAAAAGCAUAUUUCAGUAACACACUGAAAAAAUGUACAAUUGCACUCACAAUAUACACAUCUCUUUUUCUUUAAACACAUUUCUCAUUAAAAUACAACAACCGAUUUGCUCAACUUACUCAACCCAUAUAAAUCAAUGCGUUAGCCAUUAGCUAAGACCGCAUGGUUAGCAUAACUCCCUGUGCUUAGCAUCACACUUUCAGCACAUAUUAUUGACAUAAAAUAACCAUUUGACCACAAAUCAACAUAUAUACACAUGUAUUUUUCUUCUAAAACAUUGAACAGAAAUAAAGCAUAAUUUAAACGUUUGUUUUGUAGUGAAACACUACACUAACUAAUUUAUAUAAAGGACAGACAAAUACAUAUACAUGUAAUUCACUUACCAAGAAAAUAGUGAGUAAACAGAACAAUCCCGGAUGGAAAAAU